UGGGAGCUGGAUGGAUAAGAGGAUCUGAAGAUGCAGGCUUUUAUUUUUGCCUUUUUGAUGUUGGUUGUGCAGAACUUGUUCAGGUUAAUUUCUCUGAAGAGUAAAAAUUUGACCACCUGCCUUGGAGUGGAAUAUGAUUGGAGAAGAAAAAGAAGAUUAGCCCGGGGUUAACAUCCACCACCAACCCUCCUCUUUUUUGCUGAGGAAGACUGGCCCUGAGCUAACAUCCAUGCCCAUCUUCCUCUACUUUAUAUAUGGGAUGCCUACCACAGCAUGGCUUGCCAAGCAGUGCCAUGUCCGCACCUAGGAUCUGAACCGGCGAACCCCAGGCACCUGGAGGAGAAUGUGCGAACUCAACCACUGCACCACUGGGCCAGCCCCUAAAAUACUUCUUUUUUGAAUGUUAGGAUAGAAGCAUGGGUGCUUUGAA
rnacentral:lncRNA from 1 species